UCAGCCAUCAGAACGUUUGGUGAGCCAUGCAGAUUACAAAUUCAAGAAACCAAUGGAGCAUGAGUGUGUGCAUGUCCAUGAGAUUACAGAAGCUGCUGGGACUAAAGAGGCAGAAGCAGAUGCUAUGUAUGAUAAAGAACUAAAGGAGGCCAUUAGAGGAGUACAGGAUGCUGUGAUUGCUAUAAACAAGCAUUUGGAAGAGUCCAGUAAACAAACUCGUGACACAUCCUUGGCACUAAAGUGAUGGACAAAAACAAGCAGUUGAUUAUUUUCUCUUUGGCAAUUUGAUGCUGGUGGAAAACUAUCGCAUAAAUUGGAUACUAAGCUUGCAGUUAGCUCUUAUGGGGAGGGUGAACUCGCCAGCCUUAUUCAAAUAGAGCGAGCAAGGGAUAUUUGAAGAAGUAUUACAUUGUGACCUAGACUUUUCAACAGACCCAUGGCCUAGUAUUUCUAAAGGUGCCAAAGAUUUAGUAAGGAAAAUGCUUAUUCGAGAUCCCCAAAGGCGGAUUUCUGCACAUGAUGU